rnacentral:misc_RNA from 2 species
CUGAAGUGAUUUGGGGAUGUUGCUGGCCUCUUCUUUUUUGAGGGGCAAUGUGCACUCCCUGAACAAUUCACAAUUUCCAUCACACCCUUGUGCACAUUUUGUAGGCGCCCACUCACCUCUCUUGGUUGGGGCGUCCUAUGUAUUCCUUCAUCUCACACUUUAUUGAAUGGUGCUCUUGAACGCAUCUCAUGGAUUAUUUGUAAAAAAAGUAAUCACAGAAA